rnacentral:lncRNA from 1 species
UAAAGGAUAGAUAAUAGACAGUAACAGCAGUAUACUGUAGGUAGGGGUAAAGGAUAGAUAAUAGACAGAAACAGCAGUAUACUGUAGGUAGGGGUAAAGGAUAUAUAAUAGACAGUAACAGCAGUAUACUGUAGGUAGGGGUAAAGGAUAGAUAAUAGACAGUAACAGCAGUAUACUGUAGGUAGGGGUAAAGGAUAGAUAAUAGACAGUAACAGCAGUAUACUGUAGGUAGGGGUAAAGGAUAGAUAAUAGACAGUAACAGCAGUAUACUGUAGGUAGGGGUAAAGGAUAGAUAAUAGACAGUAACAGCAGUAUACUAUAGGUAGGGGUAAAGGAUAGAUAAUAGACAGUAACAGCAGUAUACUGUAGGUAGGGGUAAAGGAUAGAUAAUAGACAGUAACAGCAGUAUACUAUAGGUAGGGGUAAAGGAUAUAUAAUAGACAGUAACAGCAGUAUACUGUAGGUAGGGGUACAGGAUAGAUAAUAGACAGUAACAGCAGCGUAUGUGAUGAGUCAAAAGA